GGCGUGCAUAACACAUGCAAGUCGAACGAGAAAUCCCGCCUUCGGGUGGGAGAGUAAAGUGGCGCACGGGUGAGUAACGCGUGGGUAACCUGCCCCUGAAUUCGGGGUAACUCCGCGAAAGCGGUGCUAAUACCGAAUGUCGUCACAGGGACCGUGGUCCCUGGGAUGAAAGGUGACCUCUCCAUGGAAGUUGCCGUUCGGGGAGGGGCUCGCGUACCAUUAGCUUGUUGGUGGGGUAAUGGCCUACCAAGGCUACGAUGGUUAGCUGGUCUGAGAGGAUGAUCAGCCACACUGGCACUGAAACACGGGCCAGACUCCUACGGGAGGCAGCAGUGAGGAAUUUUGCGCAAUGGGGGAAACCCUGACGCAGCAACGCCGCGUGAGUGAAGAAGGCUUUCGGGUCGUAAAGCUCUGUCAAGUGGGAAAAACGUCUUCCCGUUAACAGCGGGAAGGCCUGAUGGUACCACUGGAGGAAGCACCGGCUAACUCCGUGCCAGCAGCCGCGGUAAUACGGAGGGUGCAAGCGUUGUUCGGAAUUACUGGGCGUAAAGAGCGUGUAGGCGGCAAGGUAAGUCAGGCGUGAAAGCCCUGGGCUUAACCCGGGAAGUGCGUUUGAAACUGCCUCGCUCGAGUAUGGGAGAGGAGAGUGGAAUUCCCGGUGUAGAGGUGAAAUUCGUAGAUAUCGGGAGGAACACCCGUGGCGAAGGCGACUCUCUGGACCAAUACUGACGCUGAGACGCGAAAGCGUGGGGAGCAAACAGGAUUAGAUACCCUGGUAGUCCACGCCGUAAACGAUGAGCACUAGGUGUAGCGGGUAUUGACCCCUGCUGUGCCGUAGCUAACGCAUUAAGUGCUCCGCCUGGGGAGUACGGCCGCAAGGCUAAAACUCAAAGGAAUUGACGGAGGCCCGCACAAGCGGUGGAGCAUGUGGUUCAAUUCGACGCAACGCGCAGAACCUUACCCGGGCUUGACAUCCUGGGAAUCCCCGAGGAAACCGGGGAGUGCCUGCUUUGCAGGAGCCCAGUGACAGGUGCUGCAUGGCUGUCGUCAGCUCGUGUCGUGAGAUGUUGGGUUAAGUCCCGCAACGAGCGCAACCCUCGUCCUUAGUUGCCAGCAUUCAGUUGGGCACUCUAAGGAGACUGCCGGUGUUAAACCGGAGGAAGGCGAGGACGACGUCAAGUCCUCAUGGCCCUUAUGCCCGGGGCUACACACGUGCUACAAUGGCCGGUACAAUGGGCUGCGAACCUGUGAAGGGAAGCUAAUCCCAAAAAGCUGGUCUCAGUUCGGAUUGGAGUCUGCAACUCGACUCCAUGAAGGAGGAAUCGCUAGUAAUCGCGCAUCAGCAUG
rnacentral:rRNA from 1 species